AAUUUUUGGUUCUUUAUUAGUGAGAUUAAUAGGGAAUUGGGUGAAAAGCCCAAACUAUACCCGUAGCUGUAAGUUUCUAUAACAAAAGACGUUGUUGAUACUCUUAUAGUCAUUGUUCUUAAAUAAGAAUGAGAAGACUUUCAACAGCAGAAACAAGUCAGAAGACCUGCCAAACAAUUU
rnacentral:ncRNA from 1 species